CACAGUUAAUAGAACUGUUGCCUCACAUCUCCAGUGAUUCGGAUUCGAUCCUGACCGCUGGUGUUCUCUGGAUGGAGUUUGCACAUUUUUCCUGUGAUUGCAUCGGUUUCUCCCAGGUGCUCCAGUUUCCUUGUGUACGAGUAAAUGAGUGUUCUGGGGGCAGCCCACAAGUGUCAUCAUGCUUCCAGUGCCAACAUAGCACGCCCACAACUUCCUAAUCCGUAUGUCUUUGGAAUGUGGGAGGAAACUGGAGCACCCGGAGGAAACCCGAGCACCCGGAGGAAACCCACGUAGAGACGCGGAGAACGUACAAACUCUUUACAGACAGGGGCCGGAAUUGAACCCGGGUCGCUGGUGGUGUAAUAGUGUUACACUAACCGCUACACUACUGUGCCUGCCCACUGUAGCAUAGCGGUUAGAAGAGAUGUAGAGGAGGAGUGUUCAAAGGAGGGAAUUCAACAGUUUAGGACCAAUUAAGUUUAAAGAUGAGCAACAAUAUUACAGUAAAGAUUUUGAUGGCCGAAGGGACUGACAGGGAGAGGAUGAUGACUGGCCAUGAAGGGGUUUGAAAGUGAGAAUGAGAAUUCUUUUAAAAAUUGCUGAACUGGAUGUCAAUGUAGACAAUAAGCUGAGAAAUGGCUGGCGACCAUGAAUUGAGAGAGUUUGGAUUCACUGAAUCAGAGGUUCCACUAACCUUAAAAAAAAAUUUGCUUUAAAACUGUACAAUCUCAAAAAUUAACCUUUUCAACAAUGAAUUUGCUUUUAAGAAUUAUUAAACUUUAUGAAUUAU